UCCGGCUACAGGGACCGCGUCAGGCUGCAGCCCCCAGCCAGAGCCCCGCCCCCGGCCAGCCUGAGCAAACACCGCCCCCCCCCGGCUUAGGUGGCGGGAUUCGCCCCUUCCGCGACCCCCUGGGAAAGCCGGGGGGCGUUGGCAGCUCGCCCGCCCUGGCCCCGCUGUGGGGGUGGUUCUGAAAGCCCCUGCUCCUGGAGUCCUGUGAUGAGGGGAGGCUCUCCGCUUUCAUUGCAAAAAGGGGUCUGGCCCUGGGGCGGCUGAGACAAGCUGGGGCAGGUGACCCUUGAAGGCUCAAAAGGGAGACACCAAGUUACUUGUUUCACUUAUAGCUUGUUUCUUGUUUUAAAUCUCAUUAUUUUGGAGCCUAAAGUAAGUGUGAAGAGCGGGGAGAUAAGGUCAUGCUAAAGUGUAUGAUACUGUUCGGCCCCUAGGUUUCACAUACUGUACCUGAUUUCAGCUCGCCUCAGCCCAUAGCUGCCAGAGCAGUAAAACAGUGAACUCAUCUGGUGUCCAGCUCUCUGUGAGAGAAAAGCCCUGUAGGUUUCAGAGUGGCAGCCCUGUUCGUCUGUCUCAGCAAAAACAAGGAGGAGUCCUUGUGGUACCUUAGAGACUAACUAUAGCUGGUACAGGAGCUUGGCUUGCUAGUAGCAACCCCAUCACCGACACCUGCCAUGUGGAAGUGUAUGACCCGGAGCAUGACUAGUGAUUUUUGAACAGCUGGGGUUGGCAACGUUGCUGUACUCAGUGACUGUAAAGCACCCUUCAAAGUCCUUGUCCCUCUUUCUCCCAGGGGGAGAGGCUGGAUCAGAGAGAUUACAACGCACCUAACAACGUUCUUCCGCCAGCCUUGGGAGAGACGAGUGCCCCUUCUGCUUCUGCCAGUCUUUGCAAUGAGGAGCAAAAAGCAGCAGCGACUGGUCUCCACAGCACCAUUUACAACUCUUGUACAACCUACAUAGUCUGACAUCUGAAUGAAAAUAAGAUCUACAGUUUCAGAAUGUGGAGAAGGGUGCAGUUUCCCUGGCAUGAAAUAUCUGAUAAAUUUUCAGAGAGACAAGAAUGGGAGACUCAGACCACGUCUACAGUAUACAUUUUUGUUAGUAUAGCUGUGUUGGUCAGUGUGUGCAGAGGCGUGAUUCCUGACCCUCUUAGUUGAAAACUCUCUUUAGCCUCCAAGAUUAAGCUGUAUUUCAUCCCUCCCAUCCUAUCAUCUCUUCACUAGAGAUCAUGAGAAGUGAUCAUUAUGCCGGUGACUGGCUGACAGACUCCAGAGAACUGACUUCAGGCUUGCGUAUCAUGCAGAAUCAGCUGAGCAUUUUAUGUUUGAAUUGUUUUAUACAAUAUUGUUAUUUAGACUCCCAGCCUAAACUCUAGGCACAAAAACAAAAUAGUUCUCUUCAAGGAUGCAUCACCUGAUCUGCGAGUGAAUAUCACAGGAUAGCAUGGAAACAUUUUGGCUGUGUUUUUAUCUAAAAACAGCACUUCUGUGCUAAAUGAACUAGGACUGAUAAGCUUCACUUAGGGAGAAGGAGCUAGUGGUGACCUGAAACUUGGCUUAAAAAGACUGGCUGUCUUUGGUAAGGCCACGCUCUGAAGCAGAGUCACAGUCAAUUUAUUCCAUUCAUUACAGGAGAAAAUGGCACUUCAUAGCCUCUAGGUGGCAGUGAUUCUUUACCGCUACUAAUCUUUACCAGGAACAGCAUAUCCAUAUCCCCCUACCCCCAAGUCACAAGACUGGGAGCCAGGGGAGCAGAGCGGAACUGGCUGAGGUCAGGUCACUCCACUGCCCGCCGCCCCAUGAGUGCAGGGUCGGACCCGCCCUGCAAUCACCGGGCAGCAGGAAGUGGAGCGACCCGGCCCCAACCCACUCUACCGGCUCGUUCUGGGGGAUCUUGGGGGAUCGGGGCUGAAUAGGGCACCACAAUGUCUAGGGACGGCCUAGUGCUACCAGACAGCUAUAUCUGGAAAUAAUCCAUGCCUCACAGCUCCCCAGAAGGCCAAAAUCUGGCUAAAAUUUUAAGUUCCAUGCUUGUUUGAAGAGAUGCAGCAGUAGCAUGAAAUGUAUUACUAUGAACAGAGAGCCAAACAGUCAAUUCCUGUAUUCCUAAUUAGCAUUUGGAAAGGAUUAAUUCAGUUACUGGCAUCUCCUCAAAAUUUGAUUAGAGAAUGCUUUCCACAAGCUCUAUAACCUUCCAAAACAUGCAUAAUUCACCAGUUCCUGUGGUUUUGGCUCAGUUUUCAUCACUGGGAUGGAAUGAGUCGCUUCCUCAGUAAGUAAUCACUUCUACUGUCAGUACUACUGGCAGGUGGUAUAAACUGUCCUAGUGCCUAACUAUGAAAGUCGUAUUGGAAAAAGGAUGAAAAAAUACCUUAUAAAAUGCAUGAGUGCAUGCUGAUUCAAUGAAUUACCCAGCAUUGAAAUUGUAUGGGAGAGAAAAAGAGAUUAAUUAGUUACCAAGUAACCUGAGGUAGCAGGUGUUGCUAAAUAUGAGUCAAUGCUGGUAGAUAAGCAUUGGGUGGUGGCUGUAAAGUUUGAGCCAAAGUAAUGGUAAUGCCUUGGACAGAAGAUCGGUGUAUGAGCUGUUUAGAGAUAAGUACAGGUUGGAGAAGGGCUACUGAGAUAGCAGCAAGGUAGCCAAGUUUAACUGAUUUACUGCCUCAAAUCCUAUGCAUCAAAGCAAACAAUAUGGCAGACUUAGAACAGCAACAUUUGAAUACAAACUUCAAACACCAUCCUCUUUCUCCCCCCCAAAAAAGAGUGUGUAUCCAAAUCUGGAGUCUUGGUUCAGGCUAUCAUAGAGGCUAACCACAAAAUUUGGCUCCAAACCCAAGUCUGAAUUCCAAACCCAACACCACCAAAGUUUAUGGAUGUUCAGGUUUGGGAGGACGGGUUGGUUCAGGCCCAUCUCUAGGAUAACUGUUGGUGGUCUGCCUUUGGAUCCCUGGGAGACCCAGUGCAAGAGAGAGCUAGUCACCUGGGAUGCCUGUUUGCCUUGGGGAUGGUGGUUCUUGACUUGUUAUAUUGAAAUAGAAGCCCAUAUUUUGAUCAUAGUCUCCAUAACCUUAUGCCAAUAAACAGGGAUUUUUUAAAGCAGAAAUUUAUAUGCAAUUUCAUCUCCCACCAGUCCAGUCACCCAACCUGCUUCAUCUUGUGCAGUAACUAAUAAAAGAACAGCUUGCAUGGCUACUGUAGCUAUAUAAACUCAGGGAAAAGCUCUUCAGAUUUUAAGGAGUGCCUAGAGCAGGGGAUUAAACAACAUUUAAUUUAUUACAUAAAUUAGAGCAGAAAGAUACCAUGCCUCUGUGUGGGUUUUAGGUUUACAAGUAUGUACUUUAAAAAUAAUUGCAAUAUGGGUAAAACAGCAAAGGAGUGAGAGAAUAAGCAGGGUAGAACUCUGGAUAGAACCCUCAUUAUUAAAUCUAGUUAUAAUUAAUCUAGUAACGACAGUGCAAACCAGCAUGUAGUUUUAUAUGUAAUAGUACAUUGGUCAGAAAUGAGAUGUUUAGAGAACCUUUUCAACCAAUUUCCAGGCCUUCUCAUUCACAGUAGUCUCACCAGCGUUCCAAGAAAAUAUCCUCUAGAAAGGUAGAUUUGCAAUAGUGGUGAUGGUGUUUGCUGUAGCAGCCAAACAUCUAGGUCAUCCAAAAGAUUCUACAGACUUACUAAAGUGUUGACCUUUUGUCUUGAAAACUGUUGACUUUUAGAAUUGUUAUGGUGUAUAUCUCUUGGAAUUCUUUAUGCAUCUGAAAAAUACAUUUUUAUUGUUCUGCAGAGCUCCCAGUCACAUAUGAUUUGUUUUUUUAAAUGCUGAGUAAAUUGCAUUCCUUUGCUUUUGCAUUAUUCUCCUCCUACUGCUUUCUGCCCUCACCACCUUCCGUAAAAUGCCUGAUCCACUGCUCUCUAAAUUCAGUGGAAAUAUGCUGGUUGGCUUUAAUGGCAGACAGGCUAGGUCCAAGGUAAGCAUUUAGGAUUUCACCUCUCGGUAAUUAUUGCUUCUCCAGUCUAGGGAAGUGUCACCAGGAUUUCAUUCAUACCAUUUCCACUUGCUAAAAAAGCAAUAAAAUUCUUGUAUCGUCUAUUGAGACAGAGCAACAUAAUAGCUUCCAAGACUUUUAAGUCCAGAAUCCCCUGUGAUCAUGUAGUCUGGCCUCCUGUAUAGAACUUCACCUAGUAACUCCUGCAGCAAGCCCAUAACUUCUACAGCACGUCUCUUACUGGGAUCAUGGAAAUCUUGGAUACUGUCAGUAGGAAAGCUGUUGGCAUUGGCUAGCUAGUACAGUUACAUCUACAUCAGGGAUGGGCAAACUACGUCCUGAGGGCCGCAUCUAGCCCUCCAGAUGUUUUAAUCUGGCCCUCGCGCUCCCGCCAGGGAGUGGGGUCAGGGGUUUGUGGUUUCAGGCUUCAGGUGACUCUGAAGUUUGAGUUGUUUCUGAUUGCUCUGAGAGGCCUAUCCUUUCUUUAAGUUGCUAUGAAAUUAGUCCUGGGACUGCAGCUGCACUUUCCUUGUGCUUGUGCUAUUAUUCUUAUGUUUUAAAUUUCUAGGACUUCAGGCUAAGCCUUGCAUUAAAUCAGAAUAAAUAUCUGGCUGAGUUACUUGGGUUUCUUUCUUUGGCAUUCUGUUUCUGAAUCCCUGUUUGGCCUUUGUUGAGGAUGGGAUACCUUUCGUUGUUGGUUUGUUUUUCCUUACCAGGUUUCAUAGUGGCUUUUUCUUUCUUGUUAUCUUUUUGCUUUCAUUAUAAAUAGUGGAAGCCAGAAAUGACUUGGUUCCUCUAGUCCAGCCUCUUGCCUUGUAUGACUCCUGAAUACUUCAUUUCCAGGUCUGGUGCCUUAAACCUCCCUUAUUUCUUUGAGUUUUGGUUUGGUUUGGGUUUUUUUGUUCCUGCCUCCCUUAAUCCAUUUGUUUAAAAACUGGUUUUUUUCUCCAGCCUACAAUUCCCUAGCUUCAGCUAUUAUUACAUGAUGAUUUUUUUAAACAAAUAAAGGGUAUGACCCUGCAAACUCUUAGUCACAAGGUUGUCUGUACCCACGUCAGAUGUCCUGUUGACUUCAAUAGUCCUAUUACCAUAAAGAUUGGUUGUCUGAGAGGGUGUGCAGGAUCAGGCCCUAAUGCCCUUCCAUUAAAGUCUUUACAGGGCAUGGUUCAACUCUGUUCUGUUCUCCCACUCCAGCCACCAGACUUGCCCCUGCCCUCCCGCCAGACUACAUACAUUCUGGGCCUGAUCUUAAAAUAUGCCUAAGCCUUGCUUAGGCCAAAACCCAAGAAGGGGAGGUGGUAAAGGUGGCUGAUUCCCUCAGGUAGCCAGAAACUGAGGUGGUGCAUGUCGUAAUUUAGAGCAGGGAUCUAACACAUAUCAAGUUCUGUCCCAUGACAUAUCCUGUGUGCAAGCUCUGUAAGUGAUGGAGACCCUGGUUGCCUGUUUAGGAUAGCUUUACAGGGCCUUUGCACCAUGGGAGUGGUGCAAAGAGGCCUCCUUGUGGGGCAACAUCUGGCCUUCUGCUUCCAUCCUCAAAUGUAUAAUCUCAAAUUCAUGUAUCCACUUUAGUGCCAUUCUUUGUAGUCCCUUCCAUUCAUCUCUGCUGAAUGCUCGGGGAGGGAAGCCAGAACUUAUCCACAAUAUUUCAGGUGCUCAGAUAGCAACGAAUGUGAAAUAAUAAUCGUCCGAUCUUUAGCAAGUAAAAUUAUGAAGUUAAAAACGUUCCCCACAGUAGUUUAGCCAGGCUCUGGGAAGGGUUAGCUAGUAUGAUGCAGCUCUGUGUUUUGUUAGAUGGGUUGCUGUUACAAACACUGGAGGGCAGCAGAACAAAUGCAGCUAAGGAUUUAACCAAUGAACAAUAGUAAUGAGCUGGAUUCUGAAUUACCGUAGCAUCCUCCCACAGUCAAGUCAAUACAGUGACUUAGAAAGAGGUACUUUGAAAUGUGAUUUUUUUCUGUAAAAAGCCAGAACUAGGGGUACUGGCUUGAAGUAGCAAUAACAACCUAAAUACAUGGUUUCUGCCUUCAGCACCCCCACUAUGAAAAUUGUUCCAUCACCACUGGUAAAAAAAUAAAUUCAGUGAGUAAGAAUUGCUUUCCCAACCUGUAGUAAACCUUUAAAAAGAACUGACCACUUCUCUCCUCUUGCAAGAGAGUUCAUUCAAUUCACAAUGUCCUAUUGUUUUCUUCCCCCGUUUUUUUUUUUAUAGGAUUGAUGGUGAAAAUACACCAGAAAUAACCACUUUGCGUUAUCUCAGAUUUGAAAAAUUAACAAAGGUACCUUUGUAAUGAAGAGUUACAGCCCCAGCCAGGUGCAAGGAGGAUGAAAGUGAGUCUGUCUCUGGGUUCUUCAUGUCUAGCUGUUUGCAAAAGGGGGAAAGAUUGCAAAAAUCUCUCCUCUGUUGUGCCACAGACACAAUCACGCAUACAGACUCACACAGUCCUUGUGCUCCUAGAGUGCAAGGAUAGCUUCUUCCAAGUAGGCAGGGAGGAGCAGUUGAGGCAAAGCCAUCGCUCCACCAGUUUCCCUCUUUGUCCCAGCUGGGCUCCAUGAGGAGAGCACAUGCUGCCCCUUGCCAACAUAUGCCAGAGAUUUUGCUCUAGCAUCCAUUGCACUGGGAGCCCAGGAGGACUUUUUACUGUAAAUAUACAUAUAUAAACACAAUGAGUUCAUGGAAGAUAGGUCCAGCAAUGACUGUUAGCCAGGAUGGACAGUGAUGGUGUCCCUAACCUCUGUUUACCAGAAGCUGGGAAUGGGCAACAGGGGAUGGGUCACUUGAUGAUUACCUGUUCUGUUCAUUCCCUCUGGGGCACCUGGCACUGGCCACUGUCGGAAGACAGGAUACUGGGCUAGAUGGACCUUUGGUCUGACCCAGUAUGGCUGUUCUUAUGUUCAGUAUACUUUUAAAGCUGGAUUCCUCUUUGCAGGCAGGCAGAGGCACCCAGUGUCCAACUACUGGAAAACAUCCUAAGCCAGCAUUGCAGUGAACCCAUUUAUAUAAAAAUUGCCUCAUUACUGAGACUACUACUCAUUACUUGAGACUACUAAUAGUCUCAAGCAUGGAAAGGAUGGAGACUAAGUUAUCUUUUCAGUCUUAGAGGUGGCCCUUCCAGAACAUGAUACACACAAAUGUGGAGAAACUUGUACUGCUGUUCUCCAUGCCGUAUGUGUGCUAUGAAUAAAUAGAGACAUGCAAUUUACUAAGGCUGCUGAGCUAGAACUUUCACAAGAAAUGAAUUCACUGUAGAAAAUAUUGGUUAUAAAUUGUAUAACUUCCCAAGAAUUGGGAAAUUAGCAUGUGCAAUACAGUAUAUGUAAUCAGAUAUUGCUAUAGAGGACUAAGUGUACAUACAGUAUCGUUUAUAAAUCAUGCCCAAAAAAUGUGGGGAGAGUGGGAGGAACGAUGACAUAGCUGACCUUUUAUCAUUUUCAAUGGAAAAUUGUUUGGCAACUUUCAUUGUCCAGGCAAAUUCAGACAGAUGAAAGGGUCGACUAAGCAAUGAUUAUAUAUGUACAUAAAUUAAAAUAAAUUACUGAAAGCUUUCAUGUUUUAUCUGUUAAAAUGCUUCUGUGACUUUGGCUUAAAAGAAGGAAGAGCUUUAGAAGGAUCAGAAGAGAGUGUCCCAUGGGAAUAAAAUUACCCGUGGAAAUAACAAUUUGUUUUUUGAACUUCACAGAGAAACAAAGGUUUGAUACAGAUGCAAUAACCAUAUCUCUGCAGCGGGAUUUUUUAAUAACCAAAGGCAGAGGAGUUGUGACUUUGCAUGUAAUGGCAACUUUUGGAUCAUUCAUAACUUUUUCCCACAAGCAGCUUAUUUCAAACAACAGUAACCUACCAAUGCUAUUCUAAGCAGAACUAGUUAAUAGUUUCCUGUUAGCAAAACACGAGUGGUGGUGUGUGAGGGUUGAUUUCUUUAUAUUCUAGAAAAAAGCUAAACUGUGUUAUCUGUAUUCUGAUUUGUGAGGGUCCCUCCUCCCCUAAUAUCCAUUUAAACCAAGCAGUGUUGUUAGGAAUCUCUUUCUUUUUCUAGUGUUUGGCCAAAUAUCACUUCAUUGCCCUCAGGAAGUGUGAAAUUAGUCCAGUGCAUUUCAUCAGGUAGGCCCUGAUCAGUAGGGACUCCAGAAUGUUGAGGGGCAGUCUGUAUACACCCAUCUCAAAGAUAAAGUAGAAGACUUGCACAGAAUUCAGCCACCUCGGGGCAUUCCCAUCAGAUAUGAAGGGAAAAUGCUGCUGCUUUUACAUUCCUUCCAGAAAGCAUGUAAAUAAUCAACAGAAUUUUUUUAAGCAAGAGGAAAUAAUGUAUCAGCGGAUCAUCAUGUAGCUGAGUUCCAUUACAUUAAGUACCUGGACAAAAAGCUUGCCUACACGCUUUUGAAAACUUAACCCACAGGGAGCAUGUAUGUGUAGUUCUAAAGUACUAUUUAUACUGUCAGCUCUCUCAUCAGAAACACACUUUGAAGUUAGAGGACAUCUUUCACAAGCAUUAAAUUCAGUCCCAUGUUUGGGAGCUAGUAAGUGCUGGCUGUGGGCUCUCCCCACACACAUUCCCAAAUUGUGUUUAAAUUGGAAUUUCAGUACAAAUAUAAAAUAAACAUGUUAUUGGCAAAUGCAGAUGUCAAUUAAAAUGAGAGUUUAUCCAUAUAAAUCUGAGUGGGAGAACGGUCUGGGCAUUUGGGAAUGCAUAAGUGUCCAUGACCUCCAAAAGGGGACACCAAGUACCUGGCCUUGUCAGAGUUAAUAGAUUAUUUUUUCCAUUUAGGUUAUAAACACCAUGUUUCUUGUUCAAUCCAAUAAUUAAGAGUCAUCUUAUUAACUACCAGCAUAACAACUCAGCACGUUUAUACAUUUAGUGUAACCAAUAUUUUAAGGAUUUCUUUUAAGGAUUCCGUAACUGAUAAAUUGUACUUUUCUCUUAUGAUUCUGCUAAUAUGUUUCCAUAUUUUCUGUAUUGCAGGUAAUUCUCACAUUGCAGGGCAAGCUGAUGUUUCUACUGUAUAGCAUUUGGGACAUUUAAACGUAGCUAUUCUGGGGUAUAAUUUAGGACAAAUCAAUCCUUUGUUUCCACAUGCAGUUGUUAUGGGGCUUAUUUUGUUACAAGUGGCUGCUUUAUAUAUGUUGGAUGUGCCCUGGUUCUAUUCUUCAGCAGUGUUUUCAAUUUACUUUUCAUUUUGCAGUUUCCCCAUACCACUGAGGCAAUAUGUUGGAUAAUCAUCUCUUAGUAGUUUAUAUAAUAUCUGCUAGUCAAUUUAGAAGUGAUGGAGCCGCACAGCAUCGUUUCUUCAAAGAGUGAGAAGUGGUUAUUUUUCCUUUUUUGGUAAAGAUGCAGUGAUGGGAAGGCAAUGCAAACUGCCCUGAUGGAGAGGCAUUGCAAUGAUUCAAUCUCUAGUGCUCCCUUCCAGGAAGAUGUGUAGAGCAGAGAAGAUAAGCUCUGUCUGUCUUGUAUCAGUUUAGAUGGGAUUCAGGCUUGACAUGAGGGCCUUGCAGGUGGGGUCUAGGGCAUGGUUAAAAUGGAGAUAUUUAUGUGCACUAUGUACUCUACAGACAUAAAUAAGAUUCAGUCCCUGCCCCCGAAGAUCUUACAGUCUAAGGGGUUGAUACUCGGGUGAUUAAGUUUAUGCAUGUCAGUAGUCCCACUAAACAUGGGGCCUAAUGAAGACAUGACAGAACACGGAAAGACAAUCAAAAAGUAAGGCACAGAGGUUACUCAUACAAGCCCACAGACUAGAUCCUAUAUGUACCCCAGCUGUUUUGGAGCUCUGGAACAAAGUAACCUCAUUCUCUCCCCUGAAAGAAGCACCUCCUUUAGCUGCUUCUAAAAAUUCCUGCUGUGAUUUAACAGACAAUAAAAAGCCAUUCUCUGGUUGAAUAAGGACUCUGCUAGGAAUACUACUAGGUGAGGUGCAAUGGGGCUGCAGGCCCCUCCAGGGCACACCAAAGACCUGUACUCCCCAUCACAAGGUGGGAAAAUAAAGUUGUGUACCCCCAUGAGAAGAAAGUGAUUGCACAUCAUCAUAAGAAUGGCUUAGCCUCUAAGAACUGAAAAAUGCAGUCUCUGGUGAGAGAAGAAAGGUCAAAGAUCUGUCAACUUAAACAGGCACAAAAUGAUCUACUGGGUGACAUUUCUUUUUUCCUUUCCCUCACGGCCAUGUGGCUCUUUUCUCAUUCUCAAUGAGUGUCACAGCCUGACAUCUGCCCCCCACAAAUCAAAAGCUGCACAUCUUUUCAGCUGGCAAGUUCGAUACACAUAAAAAUCAUUAAUAAUGGUAAAUGGUUUCCAUCUCAGUUACUUUGUCAUUACAGGUUCGUUAGAUGUAUCCAGAAUAGAAAUGGCAGCACAGUUUCGCUACUUUAAGAGUGAAAAGAACUACAAGAGUAGUGGUUUUUAACCCUUGAGAAUCUGAGUUACAUUGGGAAAUGCGGAGGACUUCUGAGGCAGGCAAAAUACCUCCACUGGCACCAGCAGGGAGAGCUAUGGUCAGGAGCAACUCCUCUGCCUCCUUUUUAGAUCUGCAGAAUGUACUCCUCCAUUCCCAGCUUCAGACUGCCUCAAGGGGCUGGGACUUGGACGUACACCCUCCCCUACGCAACCAUUUGGGAUUGUAAUCUUCUGGUCACACAAACAGUCCCUCCUCUCCCCUUACAUUCAUUGGUGCAAGAGCUAGAAUGUUGGCUGUCCUUGCCCAAGUGCCUAAGGGAGGUUAAGCAGCUUCCUGUGCUUUCUCAUUCCUUGGAAAUGUGCAUAGAAGCUGCCAGAAUCUGGCCUUAUGCACUGAUAUUUACGCAUAUGGCAGCUGUUUUCCUACAGUUAAUUUAUUGCUCUCUUCAUUUUUUCCCCAUAGACGUCUUUUCCUGUGUUUUUGCAACUUCAAGGUGCCCUGUGUAGGUAAAUGGAAUUAGGGUUUGUGCCCUAUUUAUGUUUUGAUUUUGAGUGGCACUGUAUCACCAAAAAGAGGAUCAGUCCCUGGUUCUAGGCACCUGGCUUCUUUACUGAAAGGUUCUGGGUUUUUUAAUUUCUUUUCCUGUAUAUGUUUGACCUUAGAAAGUGUAUUUACCUCCUUCUUGUAAACUUGCUUAAUGUAAUUAUUAAAGAGUUAAUGCAUUUGGACAAACCACAGAGCAAGAGAGAGUUCUUUUUCUGUGAUCUCGUAAGUUUGAUUGAAAUUUGAAAGAAGACAAAGUGUACGAUCAACUACAGUAGGGAAGGCAUAAAGUCUACAAUGUUCUCUAACCUUUUGCUUUAGCUUACGCUCUUCAACACAUAAAUGUCUCUUUUCUAAUGGACAGAACUGCAGAAAUGCCACACCAGGGCCAUCUAAUUAACUAAACCUAGGUAAACUGAAUGUUAAUUCAGUCGAAUCUUCUUAGCAGGUGGACAGCCAAUUCACUCAGUUAAACAGCUAUUCUGAUAGAGAACGACUUAUAAUGACAGAAAAUACUGAACAGAGUAAAAAUGCAACAAUAAAAAUUAUAUUUGUUGCAGUUCAUCUUUAUUUGAUCUUUAUUUCUUAUGGUUUUUUAUUUGGAAAUUUCUUUAUGGAAAAAACUGGAGUUUGGCAUUUCAGAUUUAUUUAAUCUCUUGUUAAACUUGUUAACUUGUUGUGUCUCUGGAUGAAUAUACCCCUAUUAAGCAGUUUCAUUAUCAUUAAGUACAAUUAUGCUAAACUAGCACCAUGGAAGAUGUCCUGCUUAAGAAUAUCCUGGUUAAGUGGCGUGUACAGUACCUGUAAUUCUUUGUCUCAGGUCUCACAUUUGCACUUGGUUAGCAUUUUCCUUCCAUAUAUUUUGAGUUGCUUGCUUGAGUUUUCAUCACAUAUGUUCCUAAUUACAAGAUGUGAAGGUUAAACAAUAAACACACCAGAACGCAGUAAUGCUGUGGGAUACUACCACACCCUACUGUGCUAAUUAUGCAAAAGUCCAUUAAUAUAGGUCUAAUACUUGGUGUGGCUAUACUAUAAAAUGACUCAUUUGGGUAUUAAUUAUUCAUAAAUAUGGUCUUUAAAUAAAAAAUGAGUUUUUUGUCCCUUUUAUAUUGUGUAUAAAGAAGGCAUGUUUUUUAAAGGAGUGGGGAUUGUUUCUGCUUGUAUUUUACCUUAGAAAUUCGGGUCUUACCUAUUGAGGUUUUUCAUAUGGACUCUAUGGACAACUGGAUAACUUUUAUGGUUAUAAUAUCAAAAGGGUCAAGGUGAAAUUUGAGCAACUGAGAGAGGAAGGAUUUUUUUAGUCAAACUGCUAAACUAUUUUCUAUUGUGUUUUUCUGAACACCUGUUUAAUACAAGAGCCUAAUAAACAGUUUGCUGAAAAGAUGUCUUUAUUAAAGAUUCACCACCCUGUU